CCUACUGGAGGCAGCAGUGAGGAAUAUUGGUCAAUGGACGCGAGUCUGAACCAGCCAAGUAGCGUGCAGGAUGACUGCCCUAUGGGUUGUAAACUUCUUUUAUAUGGGAAUAAAAUGUUCCACGUGUGGGCUUUUGUAUGUACCCUAUGAAUAAGGAUCGGCUAACUCCGUGCCAGCAGCCGCGGUAAUACGGAGGAUCCGAGCGUUAUCCGGAUUUAUUGGGUUUAAAGGGAGCGUAGGUGGAUUGUUAAGUCAGUUGUGAAAGUUUGCGGCUCAACCGUGGAAUUGCAGUUGAAACUGGCGGACUUGAGUACAGUAGAGGAAGGCGGAAUGCGUGGUGUAGCGGUGAAAUGCUUAGAUAUCACGAAGAACUCCGAUUGCGAAGGCAGCUCGCUGGACUGCAACUGACACUGAGGCUCGAAAGUGUGGGUAUCAAACAGGAUUAGAUACCCUAGUAGUC
rnacentral:rRNA from 1 species